rnacentral:lncRNA from 1 species
UUUUAUUUCCAUCUUAAUAAUUAUAGGUAUCAUACAAUUGGCCGUCGGAAGAAGCUCUUCAAAUUUCGUGGGUUCGUAGAAGAAUUCAACUAUUGAAUUUUCCUCUUACAAAUUUAGCAACUAUUGAUUAGCAACUGCCUAUCAUAAACUCUUCACAAUGUCGAUGUCUUUGGAGGUAAAUUUGCUUAAUUUGAUUUAAGCUUUCUAACCUUUAGUUUAUUCUUGAAGUUAUGUAAUAAUAAUUGUUCCUGUGCUUUUAAUAGGUAAUUGUAAAUUAAAAAGUUGUCAAUUGUGAUUUUUAUUUACAAUGUUUCAUAUACAAUUAAAAUUGACCCAUUUACAAAUUAUGUGCAAGUUUUGGAGUAUUGCAUUCCGUAAUAAAAGAACAGUUAGAUAUUCUAACCAUAUCAAUUCAAGAUUAAUUGUUACCUUGUAUUUUAUAAUUAAUUAAUAAUUAAUAAUUACUAUGCCAGCUUAAGGUGCUCAUAUUUUGUAAGAAAAAAUAAUCUUAAUUACCUCUUUAUGAUUUGAUUAUACGUAUUACGAGAUCUAAAAUUAUUUUAUUUCAGAAUAGAGCAAUUGGCGUCCUUGCAUCUAGCUUUUUUGAUAGUUUCAUCGGUGUAGGUAAGUAAUUUUUCUUAUCCAUAAAAAAUAAUUAUUAUAGAAUCAACAUGGUACUUC